rnacentral:lncRNA from 1 species
CGGAUUCAGGUUGGCAUGGGAACUGCACAGAAUGUUAAGCAACAAACAGAAAAAAACCAAAGCAUGUGUCAAAUGAACCUAAGAAAUAGAUGGCUCAGGAGAUGGUGUUAGCAUUGGAAAGAACAAAACAUGAAUCUGAAGCCUUCUACCACACAGCCCUCUCAAGAUAACUGGCCAUGACUGUGUCUGAUAGCCAAACUACAGAUGUAAGUGACAAGAAUCUUUUCAUACUGCUAUGCCCAGAAGUGAAUGUGGACUAAGGGCCAUACGACAGGCUUUAAUAAUGGAAAUAUGCAUAGAAGUGAACGUGCCAGCUCCCAGCAAAGGACUACAUGGGAUGUUUUGAAUUCUGUUGAUUAUCACAAUCAAAUCAUGCCUCAGAUAGCAAGAUUGGGAAGCCUGGAUCUUAUGAAAAGAACAGACAAAUAUAGCCAGAUAUACCCCUAG